GAUGAAGAACGUAGCGAAAUGCGAUAACUAAUGUGAAUUGCAGAAUUCAGUGAAUCAUCGAGUCUUUGAACGCACAUUGCGCCCCCUGGUAUUCCGGGGGGCAUGCCUGUCCGAGCGUCAUUGCUGCCCUCAAGCACGGCUUGUGUGUUGGGCUCCGUCCCCCCGGGGACGGGCCCGAAAGGCAGCGGCGGCACCGAGUCCGGUCCUCGAGCGUAUGGGGCUUUGUCACCCGCUCUGUAGGCCCGGCCGGCGCCAGCCGACAACCCAUCAUCCUUUUCAGGUUGACCUCGGAUCAGGUAGGGAUACCCGCUGAACUCAAGCAUAUCAAUAAGCGGAGGA
rnacentral:misc_RNA from 1 species